rnacentral:sRNA from 1 species
GCCGUCAGCAUCGCGUCCCAGGCCCGCGCUCAUCAGUUCGAGGGAAACCCCGACCCGCUGUCCGGGCGCUGGACGCGAGGUCCGACGUACGCCCCAUGCUGAAUCAUGGUGGCGCCGACACCGGGACGUUAUCGGGUACGCACGCCGGGCUCUCGGCACCCA